UAUAUUUACUUAUAAUUACUAGAACUGUACGGUAUAAAUACCACCUGUUAUGGUAAGAGUUUGUCAAUUGCAAAACGUUUAGGUUGAAGAUAUUACUCAGUUUUUCAAGAAAGUGAAACAAUGUCUAUCAAUAUUAUCAAAUUGAUGAUCAUUCUCUUCAUUGCGUUAAUUGCUAUGUCAAUAGAAGACAGGCAAUCCGUGAGACGAGGAAAAUUUUGUAUGCUAAAGGUAUGUAGCUAUAACCCCUGAGAAGCUUUGAAGUACUUAUAACAAUUUUAUUGUAUGGUACUUCAGAAUACAUCAAUAAAUGUAUAGUCAUAAAUUUAUAACAAAUGUAUUUAUUUUAUAUAUAUUUAAUAUUAUCUUUUGUAUUUUUCUAAAUAAA